rnacentral:rRNA from 1 species
UCAGAGUGAACGCUGGCGGUAGGCCUAACACAUGCAAGUCGAACGGCAGCACAGGAGAGCUUGCUCUCUGGGUGGCGAGUGGCGGACGGGUGAGGAAUACAUCGGAAUCUACUCUGUCGUGGGGGAUAACGUAGGGAAACUUACGCUAAUACCGCAUACGACCUACGGGUGAAAGCAGGGGACCUUCGGGCCUUGCGCGAUUGAAUGAGCCGAUGUCGGAUUAGCUAGUUGGCGGGGUAAAGGCCCACCAAGGCGACGAUCCGUAGCUGGUCUGAGAGGAUGAUCAGCCACACUGGAACUGAGACACGGUCCAGACUCCUACGGGAGGCAGCAGUGGGGAAUAUUGGACAAUGGGCGCAAGCCUGAUCCAGCCAUACCGCGUGGGUGAAGAAGGCCUUCGGG